rnacentral:lncRNA from 1 species
UGGGAUCACCGCUUCUGUUCCAUAUGCCAGAUUGAAUGGUGACUCUCCUAUCGGGAUGCGAGGAGUCAUCCGAUAAAUCCAUAAGAUCGGAUAUAGCUCUUCCACCUAUAAGCCUUUGGCUUCAUUCAGUUGGGUCUUAAGAUCAUAUAAAAUUUUUCAGUUUAUCACUUCUACUUUAUCAUUUGAUUGUGGAUGGCUGACAGAGGUGAAUUAUGCAU